UCUGCUCUUCUCAAUUUUAGUUUUGGAAGUGUUAUUGUUAUUUAUUUAUUUAUUUAUUUUGGGUUUAAUGUCAUACAAUUGGUAUGCCAUUCUAGAAGUUUGAUUCCAAAAUCCAAAUUUUCUAUCCAUAGACCACCCAUUUUUUUUUUUUGGAGUUAAUUCCAAACUCCACAGACAAAUUAUUUUCUUUGAAAUAAACGGAGCCUUAAUUGUAAUUUAUUCUAUAUUUAAAUUAAAUCAUUCUAUAUGUUAUUUAUUUCAAUUUGCAAGUAUGGACAAAGACCCUGCAUUGAAAUGAACGAUCUUUUUGACACAUCUCUUAGGUAUUGUCUAUUUGUCUGUCUUUAAUUCUUGCCUUUUUGUGUAUGGUUGAUUUUUCUGCACUCAAUGAUCCUCUCAUUGUGCUAAUCAAGCAGACACACGCUUGUUUGAUAAAUCCAUUAUAAGUUUUGAUUUUCUUGCUUUGAUUAAACCCUUUCCAAUCCUUCUCUCCUAGCCUUGAUAAAACAGAGUUUGUUUUCAACUUGCCAAAAAACGCAAAAUCAGUGAAGAGAAGGGGACAUACUAUUGUCUCUUGCCUAUUUCUUAUGGUAAUAAAAGCUCUUGAUGCAAAAUUUUGGUUGCCUCUCUUCUGAUUCAGACCCAAAGAAGACAAUUUUGGAGGUUGCAAAGCCUAAUUUCGUUCUUCAAAGCUCCAUUGACGUGCCUUCUAAACUCAAUCAGUAAAAGUUCUGGAGAUACUGACCGAGAGCCCAGUAGACCACAGACUGGGUGAGACCUCCUGCAGCUCUGCAUAGUGUCCGUGUCACCUCACCAUCUUCAGUGCAUUGGUAGGGCACUAGGUUUCAUUUUGAUAUUUUGUAACUAACUUUUAUUUUCUCUUGUGUAAUUGAGAUCUACGUAAUGUAUUUUGAUGUUAACAUAAAUAGUGAAAAUUGUGUUUAUGAAUGGAAAAUUAAGUAUUUUUUUAUUA